rnacentral:lncRNA from 1 species
CCAUUUAAUGCUUCAAAGUAAUAGUUGUGGGUUGUUAGCCCAUUUCGGCCAAAAUUUCAGCAAGUCUUUCUACACUCUUCUAAACACACUUCAUGCAUCUCUAGUACUUGUAAUCAAUGAUAGUUAAUGUAUUUUCAACCUAUUAUAACCCCAAAGAACACUAAACAAGCCAUUUAGUGGUUCAACGCAAUGUUUCCGAGUUCUUAGCCCAUUUGGGACCAAAUUUCAACAAGUCUUUC